ACGAAGGGGGCUAGCGUUGCUCGGAAUCACUGGGCGUAAAGCGCACGUGGGCGGAUUGCUAAGUCAGGGGUGAAAUCCUGGAGCUCAACUCCAGAACUGCCCUUGAUACUGGCGGUCUCGAGUCCGGGAGAGGUGAGUGGAACUGCGAGUGUAGAGGUGAAAUUCGUAGAUAUUCGCAAGAACACCAGUGGCGAAGGCGGCUCACUGGCCCGGUACUGACGCUGAGGUGCGAAAGCGUGGGGAGCAAACAGGA
rnacentral:rRNA from 1 species